CAUUAUUCGCGCGACAUUUGUCAACAACUUUGCACCAAGUAAACAAGGCUCUAAAAAGUAUUACAAACGCUGGAAAAGGAUGAAUUAUUGGUUGGGAAUUACUUUGGAGAUGAUGCCAAGUGUAUUUAGAGUUACAUGAGUCGAAUAACAAUGCCAGGCGGCCAUUUUUCAUUACGAUAGGAUUAAUCAAUGGAGGAAAUUCGGUUCAUCUGCACGUCACCACUUCCUGGAUCCAUUGGAAUCGAAAAGUCACGACUGGGACGGGUCAUGAAUCUGCACAUCACAAGUGUUCUGAUUUCAUCCAAAUCACAUUUUUAUACAGUUAACACAGUUACAUAAUAUAUUCCUUUGAGAUGUCCACAUAGUCCAGCACACGUUCACUUAUUUUGAAUUCAGCGUCAUCGGAAAAUGGUCAGGAUCCAUAUCCGGAAUUACAUCACUUGGCCUGGAAGGAUUCCUCAAGGUUGGGCAAGAUCUGAUGCCUUUGAUGGAGAAGGAGGAUUGGAAACGGGUGUGGCCACCCUAUCAUUCUCCAAGUUGUUAGGUGAAGAUGGAAGGGACUUAAAAGUUA